UACGUAGGUGGCAAGCGUUGUCCGGAUUUACUGGGCGUAAAGAGCGCGCAGGCGGUCGUCAAGUCGAGUGUGAAAGCCCCCGGCUCAACUGGGGAGGGUCAUUCGAUACUGAUCGACUCGAAGGCAGGAGAGGGCAGCAGAAUUCCCGGUGUAGUGGUGAAAUGCGUAGAUAUCGGGAGGAAUACCAGUGGCGAAGGCGGCUGCCUGGCCUGUUCUUGACGCUGAGGCGCGAAAGCUGGGGGAGCAAACGGGG
rnacentral:rRNA from 1 species